rnacentral:rRNA from 1 species
GUGAACGCUGGCGGUAGGCCUAACACAUGCAAGUCGAACGGCAGCACAGUAAGAGCUUGCUCUUACGGGUGGCGAGUGGCGGACGGGUGAGGAAUACAUCGGAAUCUACUUUUUCGUGGGGGAUAACGUAGGGAAACUUACGCUAAUACCGCAUACGACCUACGGGUGAAAGCAGGGGAUCUUCGGACCUUGCGCGAUUGAAUGAGCCGAUGUCGGAUUAGCUAGUUGGCGGGGUAAAGGCCCACCAAGGCGACGAUCCGUAGCUGGUCUGAGAGGAUGAUCAGCCACACUGGAACUGAGACACGGUCCAGAUUCCUACGGGAGGCAGCAGUGGGGAAUAUUGGACAAUGGGCGCAAGCCUGAUCCAGCCAUACCGCGUGGGUGAAGAAGGCCUUCGGGUUGUAAAGCCCUUUUGUUGGGAAAGAAAAGCAGCAGGUUAAUACCCCGCUGUUCUGACGGUACCCAAAGAAUAAGCACCGGCUAACUUCGUG